rnacentral:rRNA from 1 species
GCCUACUAGCUAGCCCCGCCAACCAAACUCAACAAACAAAUAUAAAUAAACCCAAAAGCACUAACAUAUUUGACUAACAAAACAUUUUUCCCCCAUAGUAUGGGAGACAGAAAAGGGCCAUAAGGGCGCUAUAGAAAAAGUACCGCAAGGGAAAGCUGAAAGAGAGAUGAAAUAGACCAGUGAAGCCAAAAAAAGCAGAGAUUACCCCUCGUACCUUUUGCAUCAUGA